rnacentral:rRNA from 1 species
ACAGCAGCAGCCGCGGGAAUACGUAGGUGGCAAGCGUUGUCCGGAAUUAUUGGGCGUAAAGUGCGCGCACGUGGUUUAAUAAGUCUGAUGUGAAAGCCCACGGCUCAACCGUGGAGGGUCAUUGGAAACUGUUAAACUUGAGUGCAGGAGAGAAAAGUGGAAUUCCUAGUGUAGCGGUGAAAUGCGUAGAGAUUAGGAGGAACACCAGUGGCGAAGGCGGCUUUUUGGCCUGUAACUGACACUGAGGCGCGAAAGCGUGGGGAGCAAACAGGAUUAGAUACCCCUGUAGUCCCUGUCUCUUAUAC